UGUGUCUCACUGUUACCUCCUUCCUGGCUGGGUUUUUCACAUGGCACAUCCAACUAUGAGUGUGGAAAGAUAGCAUAAUCCUCUGACUGUGUCAAAUUCUUAGGAAAGUGUGACUCUUAUAAGAUGGCACAAUCGCUUCCCUGAUGUGUUUCAAGUUCUUAGAAAAAUGUGUCCUCAGCUUCACAGUGGAUUCUCAUUCCAAAAGUGUAUCAUCUCCCCUUCUUGCCCAAUUUGACUCCAUCAUACCUACCCUGAGGAAAACUAAUGUGUCUAAAUCCUUCUGCAUGAUUCCAUGGAAAGCUUGUGUUUACCCUCAAUAGUUAGAGACGUACAAGGAUGGAGAGGGAACAGAGCCAUCUUCCCAGAACCAGCUUCUGCCAGAGGAGUCCCAUGAUAAUCCCAGCCAAAAGAAUGAAAACAUCAGUAAUGGCUGUGACGUAAGAAAAUUCUGAGAAAACAGAAAAAAGUUUUAUGUGAGUGCCACAUUCCAGU